CAGUAGCCGCGGGAAAACGGAGGGGGCUAGCGUUGUUCGGAAUUACUGGGCGUAAAGCGCACGUAGGCGGCUUUGUAAGUUAGAGGUGAAAGCCUGAAGCUCAACUCCAGAAUUGCCUUUAAGACUGCAUCGCUUGAAUCGCGGAGAGGUGAGUGGAAUACCGAGUGUAGAGGUGAAAUUCGUAGAUAUUCGGAAGAACACCAGUGGCGAAGGCGGCUCACUGGACGCGUAUUGACGCUGAGGUGCGAAAGCGUGGGGAGCAAACAGGAUUAGAUACCCGAGUAGUCCCUGUCUCUUAUAA
rnacentral:rRNA from 1 species